CAGUAGCCGCGGUAACACGUAGUGUGCGAGCGUUAAUCGGAAUUACUGGGCGUAAAGCGUGCGCAGGCGGUUAUAUAAGACAGAUGUGAAAUCCCCGGGCUCAACCUGGGACCUGCAUUUGUGACUGUAUAGCUAGAGUACGGUAGAGGGGGAUGGAAUCCCGCGUGUAGCAGUGAAAUGCGUAGAUAUGCGGAGGAACACCGAUGGCGAAGGCAAUCCCCUGGACCUGUACUGACGCUCAUGCACGAAAGCGUGGGGAGCAAACAGGAUUAGAUACCCCAGUAGUCCCUGUCUCUUAUAC
rnacentral:rRNA from 1 species